UACGUAGGGGGCAAGCGUUGUCCGGAAUUAUUGGGCGUAAAGAGCUCGUAGGCGGUUUGUCGCGUCGAAUGUGAAAACCCGGGGCUCAACCCCGGGCCUGCAUUCGAUACGGGCAGACUAGAGUUCGGUAGGGGAGUCUGGAAUUCCUGGUGUAGCGGUGAAAUGCGCAGAUAUCAGGAGGAACACCGGUGGCGAAGGCGGCCGGCUGGGGGUGCCCUGACGCUGAGGCGCGAAAGCGUGGGGAGCGAUCCGG
rnacentral:rRNA from 1 species